GAUGAACGCUGGCGGCGUGCUUAACACAUGCAAGUCGAACGGAGAGCGUAUGACAGAGGAUUCGUCCAAUGGAUUACGUUUCUUAGUGGCGGACGGGUGAGUAACGCGUGAGGAACCUGCCUCGGAGUGGGGAAUAACGCAACGAAAGCUGUGCUAAUACCGCAUGAUGCAGCUGGGUCGCAUGACUCUGGCUGCCAAAGAUUUAUCGCUCUGAGAUGGCCUCGCGUCUGAUUAGCUGGUUGGCGGGGUAACGGCCCACCAAGGCGACGAUCAGUAGCCGGACUGAGAGGUUGGCCGGCCACAUUGGGACUGAGACACGGCCCAGACUCCUACGGGAGGCAGCAGUGGGGAAUAUUGGGCAAUGGGCGCAAGCCUGACCCAGCAACGCCGCGUGAAGGAAGAAGGCCCUCGGGUUGUAAACUUCUUUUGUCAGGGACGAAGCAAGUGACGGUACCUGACGAAUAAGCCACGGCUAACUACGUGCCAG
rnacentral:rRNA from 1 species